ensembl:lncRNA
GUUCGGUGUCUGCAGCGGGGCGUGAUGCUGCACCACGCGUACAGAAGCAGAAAGCUACACCAGAGCUACAACUUGGCUCUUCUGGCAAUGCAUAGCCAGACCUCUUCAGGAUCAGAGCUGGACAAGGAAGCGAUCAAAAGCAGCAAACAAACCUAAAUGUAGGACCAUAGUCAAAGAGCUGCACUUAGGCUGAGAUGAAAACUGUUUCAGUAGCUGAGCUGAAGAAAUGACGCUCACUUUCACCUUUGCCGCAUCACUGCACUGUUCACUACCGGGAAAUGGAGGUGGCAUUCAGACCAGCCGCUCUGCUGGAAGAUGUUGCUGUGGGGUAAGUUUCUGCAUUCUGUCCACAGGUGUUCUGCAGAGUGUAGAAAAGAGUUUCAGAGCGUCCUAGAGCGAAUGAAUACUCUAUAGUUGCUGGAAGAUGCACCUCAUCCCAAUAGAGAGUAAAAAAGAAAAUACUAAACAUUUUCAGGAUAAAAGAGAAGGCACUGCCAUGAAAGUACAGACCUGAGAAGCCACUGUCUCAAACAAAAGUAGUUAAAAUAGUGUUGUUGUUGUGAGAAUACUAUAAUUUUAAAACACUUAAUAGAACAAAAAUAACUGCAUUUUAUCUGCAUUCUUGUAUGAGCUGGAACUGUGCUUGUUACACACUGCUAUCCCACAUCGCCAUGUGACACACAAGUGGCAGAUCACUGCUCAUAAGGACUGUCUGCUGGCAAAGAGGAGCCAUAAAACUUUUCUAAAGAAGACAUCAGCACAUUCCUCUACAGACAGGGAAUUAUGCCAAUUCCAGACACACUCCUGCAUUCCAAAGGAGGAAUAUAUUGAACUAUAAUAAAUGGCUGCAGGGUUAUUUCAAACCAGCAUAAUGAAUGAGCUCAGAGACUGAGAAAUCCCCUCCCGGCCCUAGGAAGCAGAGGAG